AGUGGCGGACGGGUGAGUAACGCGUGAGAAUCUGCCUUGGGGUCGGGGACAACCACUGGAAACGGUGGCUAAUACCGGAUAAGCCGAUUGGUGAAAGAUUUAUUGCCCGAAGAGGAGCUCGCGUCUGAUUAGCUAGUUGGUGAGGUAAGAGCUCACCAAGGCAGCGAUCAGUAGCUGGUCUGAGAGGACGAUCAGCCACACUGGGACUGAGACACGGCCCAGACUCCUACGGGAGGCAGCAGUGGGGAAUUUUUCGCAAUGGGCGAAAGCCUGACGGAGCAAGACCGCGUGAGGGAGGAAGGCUCUUGGGUUGUAAACCUCUUUUCUCAGGGAAGAAGCUCUGACGGUACCUGAGGAAUCAGCCUCGGCUAACUCCGUGCCAGCAGCCGCGGUAAUACGGAGGAGGCAAGCGUUAUCCGGAAUUAUUGGGCGUAAAGCGUCCGCAGGUGGCGAUUCAAGUCUGCUGUCAAAGCACGGGGCUUAACUCCGUAAAGGCAGUGGAAACUGAAUAGCUAGAGUGCCGUAGGGGUAGAGGGAAUUCCCGGUGUAGCGGUGAAAUGCGUAGAGAUCGGGAAGAACAUCGGUGGCGAAAGCGCUCUACUGGACGGCAACUGACACUCAGGGACGAAAGCUAGGGGAGCGAAUGGGAUUAGAUACCCC
rnacentral:rRNA from 1 species